AAAAAAAGAUUGGCUCUAUUUUGAAUGAUUUCUUUAAAGCAUUAAUUUUCUCCUUGGCAGUAACUUAAUCUAUCAAUUCUCAGAAAAUGUUAUGAAAUAAUCCCCUGCUAAUGUAUCUGAAAAGCUUUUCUAAAUUUAUUUCUGACAAAAAGAAUUUUCCUCAUAAUUUGGUUUGGGAGUCCCAAGCUGAAGUCUGCAAAAUAUUUAAUUUCCUUCUCAUUUGCUCAUCCUCUUCCUUUUUUGUGGAAGUAUGAGUACAAAUGCAUUUCAGAAUUGUCUUUAUAUGACAAUGAAACACUUAAUUUAAAGGAGCAUUAAUGGAUGUUGUCUCUUAUCUUAAACACCUUUCCUUCCUGUAACGUGCACGCACAAAAGCAUGAAUAGAAUCAGCUCAGAAGGAAGAGAGUUGCAUGUCAUUACCAGGUAGAUUCAUUGGGAGACAUAUGAGAGAUUUAUUUUGAUGCGGAUGCCCUUCGCUUGUAUUCGCCAGCAGGCACAUCCAGUCCGCUUGGCACCCAGAUGUAGUCCACAUCUUACCACCAUUUAUGACAUAUUCAUCACCUUUUCUCACAGCUGUUGUCUUGAUACUUGCAACAUCUG
rnacentral:lncRNA from 1 species